rnacentral:tRNA from 1 species
GUUUCCGUAGUGUAGUGGUUAUCACGUGCGCCUCACACGCGCAAGGUCCCCGGUUCGAUUCCGGGCGGAAACA